rnacentral:rRNA from 1 species
UACGUAGGUGGCAAGCGUUGUCCGGAUUUACUGGGCGUAAAGCGUAUGCAGGCGGGAUCUUAAGUAGGAAGUGAAAGUUGGAGCUUAACUCUAACACUGCUCCCUAUACUGGGAUUCUUGAGUGCCGGAGAGGAAGACGGAACGCACGUGUAGCGGUGAAAUGCGUUGAGAUGUGUCGGAACACCAAUGGCGAAAGCAGUCUUCUGGAACGGAUACUGACGCUGAGAUACGAAAGCCAAGGUAGCAAACAGG